UUAGAGUUUGAUCCUGGCUCAGGAUGAACGCUGGCGGCGUGCCUAAUACAUGCAAGUCGAACGAGUUCUCGUUGAUGAUCGGUGCUUGCACCGAGAUUCAACAUGGAACGAGUGGCGGACGGGUGAGUAACACGUGGGUAACCUGCCCUUAAGUGGGGGAUAACAUUUGGAAACAGAUGCUAAUACCGCAUAGAUCCAAGAACCGCAUGGUUCUUGGCUGAAAGAUGGCGUAAGCUAUCGCUUUUGGAUGGACCCGCGGCGUAUUAGCUAGUUGGUGAGGUAAUGGCUCACCAAGGCGAUGAUACGUAGCCGAACUGAGAGGUUGAUCGGCCACAUUGGGACUGAGACACGGCCCAAACUCCUACGGGAGGCAGCAGUAGGGAAUCUUCCACAAUGGACGCAAGUCUGAUGGAGCAACGCCGCGUGAGUGAAGAAGGCUUUCGGGUCGUAAAACUCUGUUGUUGGAGAAGAAUGGUCGGCAGAGUAACUGUUGUCGGCGUGACGGUAUCCAACCAGAAAGCCACGGCUAACUACGUGCCAGCAGCCGCGGUAAUACGUAGGUGGCAAGCGUUAUCCGGAUUUAUUGGGCGUAAAGCGAGCGCAGGCGGUUUUUUAAGUCUGAUGUGAAAGCCCUCGGCUUAACCGAGGAAGCGCAUCGGAAACUGGGAAACUUGAGUGCAGAAGAGGACAGUGGAACUCCAUGUGUAGCGGUGAAAUGCGUAGAUAUAUGGAAGAACACCAGUGGCGAAGGCGGCUGUCUGGUCUGUAACUGACGCUGAGGCUCGAAAGCAUGGGUAGCGAACAGGAUUAGAUACCCUGGUAGUCCAUGCCGUAAACGAUGAAUGCUAGGUGUUGGAGGGUUUCCGCUCUUCAGUGCCGCAGCUAACGCAUUAAGCAUUCCGCCUGGGGAGUACGACCGCAAGGUUGAAACUCAAAGGAAUUGACGGGGGCCCGCACAAGCGGUGGAGCAUGUGGUUUAAUUCGAAGCAACGCGAAGAACCUUACCAGGUCUUGACAUCUUUUGAUCACCUGAGAGAUCAGGUUUCCCCUUCGGGGGCAAAAUGACAGGUGGUGCAUGGUUGUCGUCAGCUCGUGUCGUGAGAUGUUGGGUUAAGUCCCGCAACGAGCGCAACCCUUAUGACUAGUUGCCAGCAUUUAGUUGGGCACUCUAGUAAGACUGCCGGUGACAAACCGGAGGAAGGUGGGGAUGACGUCAAAUCAUCAUGCCCCUUAUGACCUGGGCUACACACGUGCUACAAUGGAUGGUACAACGAGUUGCGAGACCGCGAGGUCAAGCUAAUCUCUUAAAGCCAUUCUCAGUUCGGACUGUAGGCUGCAACUCGCCUACACGAAGUCGGAAUCGCUAGUAAUCGCGGAUCAGCACGCCGCGGUGAAUACGUUCCCGGGCCUUGUACACACCGCCCGUCACACCAUGAGAGUUUGUAACACCCGAAGCCGGUGGCGUAACCCUUUUAGGGAGCGAGCCGUCUAAGGUGGGACAAAUGAUUAGGGUGGGAGUCGUAACAAGG
rnacentral:rRNA from 1 species